rnacentral:rRNA from 1 species
GACGAACGCUGGCGGCGUGCUUAGCACAUGCAAGUCGAACGGUAAGGCCCUUCGGGGUACACGAAUGGCGAACGGGUGAGUAACACGUGGGUGAUCUGCCCUGCGCUUCGGGAUAAGCCUGGGAAACUGGGUCUAAUACCGGAUAGGACCACUGCCUGCAUGGGUGGUGGUGGAAAGCUUUUGCGGUGGGGGAUGGGCCCGCGGCCUAUCAGCUUGUUGGUGGGGUGAUGGCCUACCAAGGCGACGACGGGUAGCCGGCCUGAGAGGGUGACCGGCCACACUGGGACUGAGAUACGGCCCAGACUCCUACGGGAGGCAGCAGUGGGGAAUAUUGCACAAUGGGCGCAAGCCUGAUGCAGCGACGCCGCGUGAGGGAUGACGGCCUUCGGGUUGUAAACCUCUUUCAGCACCGACGAAGCGCAAGUGACGGUAGGUGCAGAAGAAGGACCGGCCAACUACGUGCCAGCCGCCGCAGUAA